rnacentral:sRNA from 1 species
CACUAUGCUCAUCCGUGCAGGAUGAGAGCCUGCAGCAGGUUCGACAAAAUCGCCACUUGUGGCGACCCGCAGGGCGAGUCUCAGGAUGAGACGAGUGAUAUCCUGCACGACCCACCA